AACGUACUCCAGAGACGCAAUAACUUGCACAGCAUUGAAUGGAAAAGGCUUUGUCCAUGUCCAGUUGAGGGGCAUCAAGAACACGCAGAUGGCCUAAACCUGUGUCAGCCUGGACAGACUGCAGUUCUGCUAUUCCACGCCAAGGCUUUUGUUUUCUGGAAGCUCCAUUUGAGUUCAUCAAGGACAUACUGAUGGCCUAAACCAGUGUCAGCCUAGACAGACAGACAGACAUCUAUUGCAGUUCUGCUACACAAGACCAAACUCUCUGCUUUUGUAUGGAUGUCUGACUAGUACGAUGUUCUCUAAAGGUAUAACUGGAGCAAAACAACAGCAUCCGUUACAGUGAAAUUUGUGUUCAUAAAAGAUAGUGAUAUAUGUGUAACAGGUCCAGUACAUUUGUCAUAAAGGUUAAAUCACAAUAAGUAUUGUAAAAAUAACUUGUUUGCCUUUGCCACAACAGGUCAUGGUAUGUGCAUACUGCUCGUAGUAAACACACACGCUGAUCUCAUGCGGGAGAGAUAUACGCAAACACAUUUGUAUUUACUGUUUUGUUUUGCCUCACUAAAGUGUUGUUGGAGCUUGGUAUAUUCACAGUUGAAAUCACUGAAGUCACAUGGAACGUUUUGACAAUGUGUUUUGUGCCUUAUCUUGACAAUGACCAUCUUGGGACCAUUGCUGUCUGUAGAGGAUGAGGAGCAUUUAAUCUAAAAUAUUUUAGUUUGUGUUCUGAAGAUUAACAGGUCUCUGGGAUGACACAAGUAAUUAAUAAC
rnacentral:lncRNA from 1 species